CAGCAGCCACGGUAAUACGUAGGGUGCGAGCGUUGUCCGGAAUUACUGGGCGUAAAGGGCUCGUAGGUGGUUUGUCGCGUCGCCUGUGGAAUUCCGGGGCUUAACUCCGGGCGUGCAGGCGAUACGGGCAUAACCUGAGUACUGUAGGGGUAACUGGAAUUCCUGGUGUAGCGGUGGAAUGCGCAGAUAUCAGGAGGAACACCGAUGGCGAAGGCAGGUUACUGGGCAGUUACUGACGCUGAGGAGCGAAAGCAUGGGUAGCGAACAGGAUUAGAUACCCCCGUAGUCCCUGUCUCUUAUA
rnacentral:rRNA from 1 species